AUGGAAAAGAAUCUAACACACCAGCUGACUCCCGUAGAGAAAGACUCUGGCUGGGUUGUUGCAGCCACGGUUGCCCGACCAGGAACCCGAGCCGAAAAGUCAUCGUCAGAAUGUCGGGCAAAGACCGAAUUGAAAUCUUUCCCUUGCGAAUGGCACAGACCAUCAUGAAGGCUCGGUUAAAAGGAGCACAGACAGGUUGAAACCUCCUGAAGAGAAAAUCUGAUGCCUUAACUCUUCGAUUUCGACAGAUCCUUAAGAAGAUAAUAGAGACUAAAAUGUUGAUGGGUGAAGUGAUGAGAGAAGCUGCCUUUUCACUUGCUGAAGCCAAGUUCACAGCCGGGGACUUCAGCACCACAGUUAUCCAAAAUGUAAAUAAGGCCCAAGUGAAGAUUAGAGCAAAGAAAGAUAAUGUAGCAGGUGUUACAUUGCCAGUAUUUGAACAUUAUUAUGAAGGAACUGACAGUUAUGAACUGACUGGUUUAGCCAGAGGUGGAGAACAGUUGGUUAAACUGAAGAGGAAUUAUGCCAAAGCAGUAGAACUACUGGUGGAACUGGCUUCACUGCAGACUUCCUUUGUUACUUUGGAUGAAGCUAUUAAGAUAACCAACAGGCGUGUAAAUGCUAUUGAACAUGUCAUCAUUCCCCGGAUUGAACGUACCCUUGCUUAUAUCAUCACAGAGCUGGAUGAGAGAGAGCGAGAGGAGUUCUACAGGUUAAAGAAAAUACAGGAGAAGAAAAAGGUUCUCAAGGAAAAGUCUGAACAGGACUUGGAGCAACGGAGGGCAGCCGGAGAGGUGAUGGAGCCUGCUAAUCUCCUGGCUGAAGAGAAGGAUGAAGAUCUUCUGUUUGAAUAAGCUUUCCUGCUCUGGUUCUUUCAGAAGGCCAAACAUGUCACCAUUUUAAUUCAUGGUGUGUAGGUUUGUUAUGUGUGGCUAUUUAUUUUUUGGCUUAAGAAUUUCACCGUUGUAAAAUUUCCCUGGAUGUCUGUUCAUGGGAUCUACCUUUGCAGAAUCAUAAUUAAGCAACAAUUAAUCACCAGUGAAAUUUGUAGAACCUGUCCCGAAACCUGUAGAAUUUAUGCUACAGAACUGUCACCCUGCUUUAAUGAUACAUCUGUUAUAAUUCACCUGCUUACCAAACAUAAGAAAAUCCCUUUAGGAAGCAGCAGUGCUCUCAGGCCAACACACAUUCGUAGGCCAGCUACUCUGGAGCACCCUUUGUUCCUACCUGCUCACACACCUUGGCAUCAUUGUCUGAGAUUGCCACAGCCAUUCUUGUGUUAGUUACUAUGGGACAUCUCUCCUUAAGCUUUAGGGAAACCUUCACUUAUUUUUCCUUGAAUAACAGGUCUCUGGUCUGUCAUGGGAACAGUUCUGCCAAUUCAAAUGUGACUGCGGUAUAAACAGUAAAAUGAUUUAAAAAUGAAAAAAAAAAAAAAGAA